ACUACAAUCAAAGAGAUUGGUUGACUUUGAAGAAACCAUCUUUAACGUAGUCUUGGUUUCAAUUAAUUCGAAGAUUGCUAGCUACAACUAAAUGGUUAUUCAAUGUUUGGACAUAAUAUGGGUUUCCGAAACCAUUAUUAAGAUAGUCUUGAUAAUAUAUGUCUAAAACUAUGAAUCACAAGACAUGUAAGUUGUAGAGAUCCAUCCAUCAUGAAUCUUAGCAAGCUAGUGGGAGCUAUAAGCGUCUUAUGAGAGAAAGAUCAAAUCAAUUGAUUUCUCAUAAAGAUGUAAAUGAAUCUUUUGUUUACUAAGUUUACAAAAGAUUAGUGGGAGUUAAUCAUGUUCCUAAAAUUUAACCCAUAUAUGAUAUAUUAAUUUUGGAAAUGAAAAGAAUACUUCUUCGUUAAAGUUAUGACUUUAAACAUUCUAUAACGAUAGAAUGUAUAUGGGAGACAUAGUCUAUAAACAUGGGAUGGAAAUCUAUAAUGAUAGAUUUUAGGAUAUAAUUGGAUUAUAUCAAGCCCUAAUGAUAGACAAAAGAUGCUAGGAAGUUUCAACAUU
rnacentral:lncRNA from 1 species